AGCCCUUCUAGGUAUUUUGGCUAAUAUCAACCGUGGGAUCUGUUUUUAUCAGUUUAAUAUCUGGGACAUCCUGUAUCCCAGGACAAUAUAUAAGUUGAGUUUGGGAGCAGGGAGAGGGUUGAAAAUAAUAUGCAAAUGCUUAAUGUUGACCAUUUGCUCCUUUAAUCAGAUGUUCUGCAUGAAACUGGUAACUGGGUAACAAUUUU
rnacentral:snRNA from 13 species